GACAGAGGUGCCAAGCGUUAGGCGGAAUCACUGGGCUUAAAGCGUGUGUAGGCGGAAUUGUAAGUACCUUGUGAAAUCCCAUGGCUCAACCAUGGAACUGCUCGGUAUACUGCUUUUCUUGAGCCACUUAGGGGCUACCGGAACAAAUGGUGGAGCGGUGAAAUGCGUAGAUAUCAGGAGGAACACCAGCGGCGAAGGCGGCGCUCUGUGCCGGUACUGACACUGAGGAGCGAAAGCGUGGGGAGCAAACAGG
rnacentral:rRNA from 1 species